UUUCAUUAUACUCAAGUAACGCCCCAGAAAUUCCAGAGAAUCUCACACAAAGAGGUUGAGUCUUGCCGUGGUGCCUUCAGGGGAAUGUCAUCCCGGGCUAGAAGAGCUGCAAAAGGCUGUCAGGCUUCUCAGAACUUUGCUUCUCCAGCAGAAUAAUCCUGCGGAAGACUGAGCAGUUCUUGUGAGUGUAAAACCAUGGCCCAUGUUUGUUAUCCAGGCAUAAGACCAAGAAAUUAUCUUCAGAAAAGGACAUUCAUGAAAUCAGUUUAUCCAAAGAGAGUAUAAUAGAAAAAAGUAAAACUCUUCGUCUGAAAGGAUCCAUUUUUAGAAAUGAGUGGCAGAACAAAAGUGAGUUUGAGGGUCAACAGGGACUUAAAGAAAGAUCUAUCAGUCAAAAGAAAAUCGUCUCUAAAAAAAUGUCAACUGAUAGAAAACGUCCCUCUUUUACUCUGAAUCAGAGAAUUCACAAUAGUGAGAAAAGCUGUGACUCACACUUGGUUCAACAUGGGAAAAUAGAUUCUGAUGUGAAACAUGAUUGUAAAGAAUGUGGGAGUACUUUUAAUA
rnacentral:lncRNA from 1 species